AAAAACCUGCUGUGUGUGGUAUACUCGUAUAGUUUUGAUCCAACAUAUUUACAUUGGGAACUCGGGUUUGAUUGUGGAAUAAAUGCCACCUUGGAGUGGAAUUAUGAAGGAAUUAACAGAGUACCCACCUUCGAAAGAGGGUUUCAAAACAACCGAGUUACGGCAUGGCGGGUAAAAC
rnacentral:other from 1 species